rnacentral:tRNA from 1 species
AAGAAGAAUUAUGAAAUACAGAGACUGCUAAUUAUCUGAGCCUAAAGUUAGAAUCUUUAGUCUUCUUA